AACGCAUAUUGCGCCCUUUGGUAUUCCGAAGGGCAUGCCUGUUCGAGCGUCAUUAUCACCGUGUCAAGCUUGGCUUGUUGUUGGGCCCUUUUGUCACCUGGUGACAGGUCCAAAAGAUAAUGACCGCUGUCGUACCGACUCUAUAUGCAAUGAGCUGCUCACAGCACGCAUACUGGCAGUCAUACGGCCCCGUCUUCCCUUUAUUUCUGAAGGUUGACCUCGGAUCAGGUAGGAAUACCCGCUGAACUUAA
rnacentral:misc_RNA from 1 species